GAUGAACGCUGGCGGCGUGCUUAACACAUGCAAGUCGAACGGAAAGGCCCAAGCUUCCUUGGGUACUCGAGUGGCGAACGGGUGCGUAACACGUGUGCGAUCUGCCCUGCACUUCGGGAUAAGCCUGGGAAACUGAGUCUAAUACCGUAUAGGACGCGAGUUUCGAUGCCAUUGUGGAAAGUUUUUUCGCUGUGGGAUGAGCUCGCGGCGUAUCAGCUUGUCGGUGGUGUCAUGGCCUACCACGGCGUCGACGAGUAGCCGGCCUGAGAGUGUGUACGCACACUUCAGAAUCGUGAGAGAGGCAGCAGUGCGGAGUGUGGCAGAAGGGGGGAAUGUCGGACACUGCGCUACCGCGUGAGGCAGGAAGGCCGUGUGGUGGUUGAGGGCUUUCGUGUUGUAAGCACAUCUGCCGAGUGACAAAGCGUUUUUGUGACGGUACCUGGAGAAGAAGCACCGGCUAACUACGUG
rnacentral:rRNA from 1 species